UACGGAGGGUGCAAGCGUUAUCCGGAUUCACUGGGUUUAAAGGGUGCGUAGGUGGGUUGGUAAGUCAGUGGUGAAAUCUCCGAGCUUAACUUGGAAACUGCCAUUGAUACUAUCAGUCUUGAAUACCGUGGAGGUUAGCGGAAUAUGUCAUGUAGCGGUGAAAUGCUUAGAUAUGACAUAGAACACCAAUUGCGAAGGCAGCUGGCUACACGAAUAUUGACACUGAGGCACGAAAGCGUGGGGAUCAAACAGG
rnacentral:rRNA from 1 species